ACCCGCUGAACUUAAGCAUAUCAAUAAGCGGAGGAAAAGAAACCAACAGGGAUUGCCCUAGUAACGGCGAGUGAAGCGGCAACAGCUCAAAUUUGAAAUCUGGCUCUUUUAGAGUCCGAGUUGUAAUUUGCAGAGGGCGCUUUGGCUUGGGCAGCGGUCCAAGUUCCUUGGAACAGGACGUCACAGAGGGUGAGAAUCCCGUACGUGGUCGCUGGCUAUUGCCGUGUAAAGCCCCUUCGACGAGUCGAGUUGUUUGGGAAUGCAGCUCUAAAUGGGAGGUACAUUUCUUCUAAAGCUAAAUAUUGGCCAGAGACCGAUAGCGCACAAGUAGAGUGAUCGAAAGAUGAAAAGCACUUUGGAAAGAGAGUCAAACAGCACGUGAAAUUGUUGAAAGGGAAGCGCUUGCAGCCAGACUUGCUUACAGUUGCUCAUCCGGGCUUUUGCCCGGUGCACUCUUCUGUAGGCAGGCCAGCAUCAGUUUGGGCGGUAGGAUAAAGGUCUCUGUCACGUACCUCUCUUCGGGGAGGCCUUAUAGGGGAGACGACAUACUACCAGCCUGGACUGAGGUCCGCGCAUCUGCUAGGAUGCUGGCGUAAUGGCUGU
rnacentral:rRNA from 1 species